rnacentral:lncRNA from 1 species
CCUGCAUCCAGGUUCCAGCCUUGAGUUCCUGCCUGACUUUCUGGAUUAUAAGAUGUAAGAUGAAGUCAACUAUUUUCUUCCCAAGCUGCUUUAGUCAUCAGUCUCAUCUCAAAGAGAAGAUAGUCUGGCUUAACAACAAAACCCAAGGCAGACUAAGAUGUCUUACGGAGACAGCUUUGUAAUCUGAAUCUUAACUCUGACCUUACUAGCUGUAUGGCCCAGAGCAAGCUUGUGUAACUUCCCUAAGGCAUGGUCAACUCUCUUCUCUGAGCAACAGAAAAUAAAUAAAAUUCCACAAAGGUAUUUAGGUUUAACUGGCUUAAGGAAAUGGAGGAACAAGAUGAACCAGAGAUCUGGCAAGAGGCAUCUAAUAGUACCAUCGAGGACAGUGGCUCCCUAC